rnacentral:rRNA from 1 species
UACGUAGGGAGCAAGCGUUGUCCGAAAUCAUUGGGCGUAAAGCGCGCGUAGGUGGCCUCAUAAGUCCGCUGUGAAAGUCCAAGGCUCAACCUUGGAAGGCCGGUGGAUACUGUGAGGCUAGAGUACGGAAGAGGCGAGUGGAAUUCCAGGUGUAGCGGUGAAAUGCGUAGAUAUCGGGAGGAACACCUGUGGCGAAAGCGGCGCACUGGACCACAACUGACGCUGAGGCGCGAAAGCUAGGGGAGCAAACAGG